AUGCCCAGCGUGGCCCAUAAGGUGAGGGGCAAAGGAGAUCUUAAGAAGCCAAGAGGCAAAAUGUCAUCGUAUGCCUUCUUUGUGCAAACUUGCCGGGAGAAACACAAGAAGAAGCACCCAGAUGCUUCAGUCAACUCCUCAGUUUUCUAAGAAGUGCUCAGAGAGGUGGAAGACCCUGUCUGCUAAGGAGAAAGGAAAAUCUGAAGACAUGGCAAAGGCGGACAAGGCUCGUUAUGAGAGAGAAAUGAAAACUUAUAUUCCUCCUAAAGGGGAAACAAAAAAGAAAUUCAAGGAUCCAAUGCGCCCAAGAGGCCUCCUUCGGCCUUUUUCUUGUUUUGUUCUGAGUUUCGCCAAAAAUCCUGGCCUAUCCAUUGGUGACGUUGCAAAGCAGCUGGGGGAGAUGUGGAGUAACACUGCUGCAGAUGACAAGCAGCCUCGUGAAAAGAAGGCUGCUAAGCUAAAGGAGAAAUAUGAAAAGGACAUUGCUGCAGACCGAGCUAAAGGAAAGCCCGAUGCUGCCAAAAGCGUAGCUGUCAAGGCUGAAAAAAUCAAGAAAAAGAAGGGAGAGGAAGAAGAUGAGGAAGAUGAGGAGGAGGAAGAUGAAGAAGAUGAUGAUGAUGAUGAAUAAGUUGUUUCUAGCGCAGUUUUUUUUCUUGUCUAUAAAGCAUUUAACCCCCCUGUACACAACUCACUCCUUUUAAAGAAAAAAAUUGAAAUGUACGGCUGUGUAAGAUUUGUUUUU